rnacentral:rRNA from 1 species
UAAUACGAGAUUAACAAAGAUUAAUUAAAAUUCGAAGAUAGAUAUUGAUUAUGACAGUAUUUGCUANUGUCUUGACCAAGUCACGUGCCAGCAGUCGCGGNAAUACGUGGAAGAUUAGCGUUAUUCAUCUUUANUUGGUUUAAAGGGUACCUAGACGGUUAAUCAAACACAAAUAUGUAUUAAUUAACUAGAGUUUAAUAUAANAAAGAUUGAGUACGGNGAGUGUAGAGAUAAAAUUUUGUGAUACCCCCUAGGAACUGGUAAAGGCGAAGGCGACUUUCUAUGUAAAAACUGACGUUGAGGGACGAAGGCUUGUAUUAAAUAACANGAUUAGAUACCCUAGUAUUGUGAGCAGACGAUGAUGAGUGUCAUAUGCAAUAAAUUUUUUGUGUAUAAAUGAAAGUGUAAGCAUUCCACCUCAAGAGUAACGUGGCAACACGGGAAUUGAAAUCAUUAGCACCGCUUCUGAAACUCGUAGUGAAGUAUGUUGUUUAAUUUGAUGAUCCGCAAAAACCCUUACCCCAAUUUGAAUUACUACAAAUAUACAUUUUUUUUUUGCAUGUUGUAGCAACAAGCGUUGCACGGCUGUCUUCAGUCAAUGUUGUGAAACUGUGGUUAGAUCCAUAUAAUUGACGUAAACCCUUNCUUUAUUUAUUAUAAAGUAGUUCGCCGCUAUAUUGGUAGUGAUAUAAGGGACUAAGCCAAGUCAUCAUGACCUGAACAUUGUGGGCUAUAGACCGUGCCACAUUACCCUCUACAAAAAGAUGCAAAAUGCGAAAUUUA